UGUAAAGAAGUGUUCUUGUAGCCAUGGAGC
rnacentral:piRNA from 1 species